AUCCCUCCAAGUCAGCUUUACUGUACCGCGAGUUCACUAGGAUAAAAUCAGAUGUUUCCAGUCCUGUUUUUCUUUUUUCUUCACCCUCUCUUUCCAAAUCUUCAUGUUUUGCAGAAUGCAACAACCUGUAAGUGUUUGGCAGCUCUGGCCAUCAAAAGUGCAUCACUCCCAUCCCUACUCUCAGUGCUGGUUCUCAGCUGAAUACAAUUGAAGCUCAGUGUUUCAGUUCUGAUCUUUAAAGGCCAGCAUGUGAUUGGCCUUGGCAACCUAACGGAUGGUCUCAGUCUUCCUGAUUAUGACCUCUCAUGACAACUGCAUUCCUCUGGGGAACUGAAAAUGUCAGACAUCAAAGAAAGACCCACAAGCCUGUCAGAUAGUUUUCUCAGCAGCUGGCUUGUGACUAAGAAAUUCACUGUGAUAGAGAUCAGAGUGACCACAAACAAAACUGUAAAGCUCAGAUGUUCGACCUAGAUUUCCCAACAUCAUGAUAAAAGGAAAAGCAUCCAUUGACAAGAUGAUGAAGAGGAACGUUAGGACAGAUUCUCAGCUGCUAUAAAGUGUGACACAAGCCCACAUGGUAGAAUUUCGUUAAGCUCUAGGCAUUUCAAACAAGGCCUGCAAUAGUAGAUUGUCCUUUAAAGACUGGGGUCAAAAUUAUCCCUUUGGGGAAGGAGAUUCUUGGCACCCAGGCAAGAAAAUUGUUCCUGACCACAACAUAUAGCAGACAAAGCAGAAAAAGUCACAGCAAGUAGAUGUCUGAAAUAUAAGAAAUUCUGAAAAAACUGCAGUG